rnacentral:rRNA from 1 species
UACGGAGGGGACUAGCGUUGUUCGGAAUUACUGGGCGUAAAGCGCACGUAGGCGGAUUUGUAAGUCAGGGGUGAAAUCCCGGGGCUCAACCUCGGAACUGCCUUUGAUACUGCAAAUCUCGAGUCCGGAAGAGGUGAGUGGAAUUCCUAGUGUAGAGGUGAAAUUCGUAGAUAUUAGGAAGAGCACCAGUGGCGAAGGCGGCUCACUGGUCCGGUACUGACGCUGAGGUGCGAAAGCGUGGGGAGCAAACAGG